CAGAGAGGCGAAAAACAGAAACCUCUAACCUUCUCAGGUUCUUCCGUCGAUCUCUAGAUCUAACGUCAUUCUCUUCCAUUCUUUUAUGUUUUAUCUCCUCCUUUUCUUUUAUUAAUAUCUGCUUUCCUUGUACAAAGUGAGAUAGAUAAAGUAGAAAUUAGGGUUCCAAUCUUUAUUAUAUGAUAAAUCUGAAUCGAUGGCGAUUGAUGGAUUUCGGAGAAAUUAGGGUUUCAGUAGAUAGAUGGAUUCGGUGAAAAGGGUAUUGGUUCCUCAUUAUUCAAGAUGUAAGAGAGGGGUGUUGUAAUCGAUAGAUUCUGAUUCUCUGAAGAACAUCGGGUUAGAAUUCAGAUUUUUGUUGCUGAUUCAUGGAGAGAAAGAGAUGAAGAACUGAAUAUUAAAUAGGGAUUUUAUUGGUGAUUGAGUUACAAAGAUGGGUUCAAUUGGUUUUAGGGGCUUCAACUGAUUUAAUUUCAACAAUUGAUGAUGAUUUAGGUUUGUAGAAAAUGGAUUUGUGGUGACUUAUGGGAAGAAGAAUUGGUAGUUUUAGGUUUGCAAUUUGGUAAUUGUUAUAUCAGGAUGGAGAAGACUAAUGAAGUCAUGGGUUAAGUUGAUUUGUAGGUGAACCUGUGAGAUAAUUUGGUGUUGGAUUUACAUAGAAUUGUGUGAGUUUUGGAGACGGAUUUGUGGAGGUUCGAUUCAGUUCAAUUUUAUGCAUACCUAUCUUAUCAGUUAUCGUAAGCUUAGAUUCGUUUGAAUACUUAAGUUUCCUACUGCUAUUAAUUGCUAAGACGGUCCUUGAUUUCUCGAAUUGUCUGCAUACAUGAUGCGAAGAACAAAAACAUUGAAAUUAUGGGGAACACUCUUUACAAGGCAUACCUCAAGGAUUUAUUUAAGUUCUUCUAGGACCAAUUGUAUUGAUUUCCUGGUAGAAUCUACAUGAAAAACAAAAGCAUAACUUCAGGUUGCACUGCGCUUCUUUAGUCUCGGGAGAUAACCGUCGGGAUGAUGGUGCUGACUUCAGCUGGAUUCUCUCGCGGUUUCAGUUAUGUAACUUUUGCAGAGAUUGAGGAUGCAAAGGAAGAAAUGAGAGCACAUUCUAAGAGAGUAACAAGGAUUUUUGUGGCCAAAAUCUCACAGUCUAUAACAGAAAUAAUAUUCUGUAGGUGAUUUCUUCUCUAGAAAUUACUUAUUUUGAAACCUUGCGAGAUAACAGAUAUACAUGCCCAAGGUUAGUUUUGAAAUCUCCUUAUCAUAUUUCAUCACAUGCCGAAAAGAACAUGUGGAAGGGGAUUAAUGCAAUUGAGGAUCAGUGUUCCUAUUUGUGGAGAUUAUUGUAUCUAUUACUUAUUCAUGAUUUGCAAGAUCAAGGAUCAAAAGCUCAUCGUGGAAUUGGGUUCAUUACUUAUGAAACUGCAGAUUCUGUGGUCACUUUGAAGUCUAAAACUCAUGAACUGGAAGGUUCAACGAUAGUUAUGCCAACUUAGAUGAAAUGGGUUCUUGGUUCUGGUGAUGCAGUUUGAGCUCAUAUAGAUGUUAAAUAUUGGUGAUGUUAUGUUACUGAUGGCUGAGUUAUGGUGGUUGUUUGGCUGUGAAUUGCUGGGAAUAGAAGAGUGAGUUGCAGCUGGGAUUUCAACUAGAUGAACAAUGCAGGGAAGUGAUUGAAGCUGCAUAAUGGAUGUGGUGAUGUUGUUGCAACUACAUGAACAAUGAAGGAUGGUGCUCUAAAUGGCAGUUGCAGUUGAAGUUGCUGAUUUGAAGAAGAAGUGGGAGAGUAGUUCAUGGGUAGGAAGCUGCUUGAGCAGCAACAUCUAUAUGAUAAGAUGCUUGAAUUUAUAAGAUGUCCCUGGUUUUGUUUGUGUUUUUGAGUUUAUAUAAGUUGCUCUGUCUGACCAAGAUCAAAGUUGAAUUGUAAGGGAAGUAUGGAAUUGUGAAGUUGCUGCUGUGAGAUGGAUGGAGGAUAUGAAGGAUAAAGAAAUGGUGGUUCUGCUGAGAAGGGUCUAGAAGCAGGCAUUGCCUCGCCUACAGCUUGCUUUCUAAAUUGGUGCAUUCUUUUCCUUACCACUUUUUGUUUGAAGAUGCAACCAUUGAAUGCAUGUUUCUUGUUCUAGUUUCAUCCAUGGAAUUACAGGGUUGCAUCUCAUUGGAAACCGAACACUGGUAUGUAGUUAUGAGAUAAUGAAAUCUCCUGAAAGGUAUGCAGCUAACACUUGUUUUUUUGGAUAAAAUAGUCUUUCAUAGUAUUAGUUCUGAAUUUUAUGUCCAAAAUUUCCUUGUGACUGAGCUUGUGGGUUCUUUUUUGUAUCCAGGGCGUGCCACCUUGCAAAGAGUGCUUUUAAAGAAGCUAUAACAAAUCUGGAUACUUGAGUGAAGAAUCUUAUAAAGAUAUUACUUGGAUUACGUAACUAUUGAGGGAUAAAGAUGAAAUUUCCAAGUCGGAUGCUGGCGAUUUUAGUGACCGUGAAAAAGGUAGAUAUAUCCUGAUCAAAGAUUCAGAUGACCAUCCUCUAGGAUUGUAUGGUAAAUCGCUUCCGUGUUUUGGCUGUGGGAUUGGAUGGUUCUUGUAAGUCUUUCUUGACCGUGAAAAAGGUAGAUAUACCCUGAUCAAAGAUUCAGAUGACCAUCCUCUAGGAUUGUAUGGUAAAUCGCUUCCGUGUUUUGGCUGUGGGAUUGGAUGGUUCUUUGGAUACAUCAUUAUCGGUUUUGUCGUCUUGAAGAUGCUAGAACUGCUCAGAGUUUGAAUGGGAAAUUCGACAUUGCAGGGAGGAUCAUCAAGGUGGGCAACUACUUUUUUUUGACUAUACUUAGGAACUUACUUACUAAAUUUUUAUGUAUUACCUUCUAAUUUGAUACUUAACAAUAACAAAAAUUCGUACUUAGAAGAAUUUUGUUAUUUGAUAUGACUUGAUUGAAUGUUAUAUAAAUUGAUUGAAUGUGAUUUGAAUUGAUUGAAGAA